rnacentral:rRNA from 1 species
CUCAGUAAGUGAGCUUGAGAUAGAGCCCGUCCCGGCUGGCAACUGCCGGGAGUCAACGGAACCUGCGGAAGGAUCAUUA